rnacentral:tRNA from 1 species
ACUAUUUUGGCAGAAAAGAAUGUAUUAAGUUUAGAACUUAUAAAUAUAGAAUAUUAUUCUAUAAAUAGUA